AACGCGAAGAACCUUACCAGGCCUUGACAUGCAGAGAACUUUCCAGAGACGGAUUGGUGCCUUAAGGCACUUUGACACAGGUGUCUAAAGCCUGUCGUCAGCUCGUGUCGUGAGAUCUUGGGUUAAGUCCCGUAACGAGCGCAACCCUUGUUUUUAGUUACCAGCAGCUUAAGGUGGGCACUCUAAGGAGAUUGCGGGGCACAAACCCGAGGAAAUUGGGGAUGACGUCAAGUCAUCAUGGCCCUUACGGCCUGGGCUACAUACGUGGUACAAUGGUCGGUAGAAAGGGUUGCCAAGCCGGGAGGUGGAGCUAAUCCCAUAAAACCGAUCGUAGUCCGGAUCGGUGUCUGUAACUCGACUGCGUGAAGUCGGAAUCACUAGUAAUCGUGAAUCAGAAUGUCACGGUGAAUACGUUCCCGGGCCUUGUACACACCG
rnacentral:rRNA from 1 species